AUGCAAGUCGAACGAAACUUUCUUACACCGAAUGCUUGCAUUCACCGUAAGAAGUUGAGUGGCGGACGGGUGAGUAACACGUGGGUAACCUGCCUAAAAGAAGGGGAUAACACUUGGAAACAGGUGCUAAUACCGUAUAUCUCUAAGGAUCGCAUGAUUCUUAGAUGAAAGAUGGUUCUGCUAUCGCUUUUAGAUGGACCCGCGGCGUAUUAACUAGUUGGUGGGGUAACGGCCUACCAAGGUGAUGAUACGUAGCCGAACUGAGAGGUUGAUCGGCCACAUUGGGACUGAGACACGGCCCAAACUCCUACGGGAGGCAGCAGUAGGGAAUCUUCCACAAUGGACGCAAGUCUGAUGGAGCAACGCCGCGUGAGUGAAGAAGGUCUUCGGAUCGUAAAACUCUGUUGUUAGAGAAGAACACGAGUGAGAGUAACUGUUCAUUCGAUGACGGUAUCUAACCAGCAAGUCACGGCUAACUACGUGCCAGCAGCCGCGGUAAUACGUAGGUGGCAAGCGUUGUCCGGAUUUAUUGGGCGUAAAGGGAACGCAGGCGGUCUUUUAAGUCUGAUGUGAAAGCCUUCGGCUUAACCGGAGUAGUGCAUUGGAAACUGGAAGACUUGAGUGCAGAAGAGGAGAGUGGAACUCCAUGUGUAGCGGUGAAAUGCGUAGAUAUAUGGAAGAACACCAGUGGCGAAAGCGG
rnacentral:rRNA from 1 species